rnacentral:rRNA from 1 species
AAUAGAUACCCGGGUAGUCCACGCCGUAAACGAUGAGUGCUAAGUGUUGGGGGGUUUCCGCCCCUCAGUGCUGCAGCUAACGCAUUAAGCACUCCGCCUGGGGAGUACGGUCGCAAGACUGAAACUCAAAGGAAUUGACGGGGGCCCGCACAAGCGGUGGAGCAUGUGGUUUAAUUCGAAGCAACGCGAGGAACCUUACCAGGUCUUGACAUCCCGGUGACCACUAUGGAGACAUAGUUUCCCCUUCGGGGGCAACGGUGACAGGUGGUGCAUGGUUGUCGUCAGCUCGUGUCGUGAGAUGUUGGGUUAAGUCCCGCAACGAGCGCAACCCUUAUUCUUAGUUGCCAUCAUUCAGUUGGGCACUCUAAGGAGACUGCCGGUGAUAAACCGGAGGAAGGUGGGGAUGACGUCAAAUCAUCAUGCCCCUUAUGACCUGGGCUACACACGUGCUACAAUGGACGGUACAAACGGUUGCCAACCCGCGAGGGGGAGCUAAUCCGAUAAAACCGUUCUCAGUUCGGAUUGUAGGCUGCAACUCGCCUAC